GUUCAGCUGCCGAGUCCCAAUUAGGACGAAAUGUCCAUCUUGAAU
rnacentral:hammerhead_ribozyme from 1 species